GGACGAACGCUGGCGGCGUGCCUAACACAUGCAAGUCGAGCGAGGAGAUCCUUCGGGAUGAUCCUAGCGGCGGACGGGUGAGUAACACGUGGGCAACCUGCCUCAUAGAGAGGAAUAGCCUUCCGAAAGGGAGAUUAAUACCUCAUAACAUUGCAGUUUCGCAUGAAACAGCAAUUAAAGGAGCAAUCCGCUAUGAGAUGGGCCCGCGGCGCAUUAGCUAGUUGGUGAGGUAACGGCUCACCAAGGCGACGAUGCGUAGCCGACCUGAGAGGGUGAUCGGCCACAUUGGGACUGAGACACGGCCCAGACUCCUACGGGAGGCAGCAGUGGGGAAUAUUGCACAAUGGGGGAAACCCUGAUGCAGCAACGCCCGCGUGAGUGAUGACAGUCUUCGGAUUGUAAAGCUCUGUCUUCAGGGACGAUAAUGACGGUACCUGAGGAGGAAGCCACGGCUAACUACGUGCCAGCAGCAGC
rnacentral:rRNA from 1 species